rnacentral:lncRNA from 1 species
UUGAAAAAUGCCUUCCUCUAAGGUAAAAGGUUGCGAAGUCGAUUGGGGAAAAAUAAUGUGAAAAUGAAUUCUUUCCCAAAAGAAUCUGAACGACAGAAAGUAUGGAUUAAAAAUAUAGGGUUAAAACAAGAUCCAAACAAAUAUGCUGUUGUUUGUGAAAAAAACUGUAAAUAGUAUUUAAGGCAACGAUUGUGAAUGAGUGAGAAGUCUAAUAAAGCCACGACGAGAUACUGUAUUAGAGCGUACGAUUUGGAGGUAUUUUUGAUUAGAUAAAUUUUGUUAAGUACAAUAUAAAUUAGAUUUGAUAAUGUGUAGUAUUUCCUAAUAAAUUAAAUACUAUUAAGUGUUUAUUGUUCUUGUAAGUUAGUGUGGUAAAUAAAUAAUAUGAAGUAA